GGGCUCGUAGCUCAGCUGGCUAGAGCGCACGCCUGAUAAGCGUGAGGUCGGAAGUUCAAGUCUUCCCGGGCCCA
rnacentral:tRNA from 6 species